GAAGCCUUCCAGAUGAUGAAGCUCAGAGAAGGAAGAUGUCCUUCCUAGGGGCACACCGCAAAGCACACAGAUUCCAGCCAGGGUCCUUGGGUCUCCAGCAGGAGCGCUCUUCUACCACACCCAGCUGCCCGCACUGGGGGCUUCCCUGUGUGUGUGGUGUGUGCACUUCUUCCACCUGAGACGGAUCCACCCAUACAGAAGUGUUGGGGACAGCACGCACGGCCUUUCCUGGAUCAGUCUGUGUUGGGACGACUCAAGGGAACUCAGUGCUGAUGCUCCAGGGCUUACUGUCUGCUGACAUGUUGUCAGGAUCCGGAAGGGAGGUGUUUUGGCAUCAAGAAUAUUUUUCAUAUCCCCUAACAGGUGCUGUGGUGACUCCUACUCCUCUGGUCCUGAUGCAACUUGAAAUGUGGCUCAAAGGAAAGAAGAAACACCGCCUUUGGCACUUGGUGUCUGAAAGGUGAAGCAGCUGUUGUGAACUGAGCACCCCAGUACCACAGGAUGUCCAAUCAACCUGCUCCGUGAAAAGUUCCCAUUGUGGAAGGACAUGAAGGACGUUUCACGCUUCAAAGUAUGUCUGUCUUCUUUUCUUCACCCUCACACUUCCUUUCAUGUUGCUGCAGGUUUUCAACUUCUCUGUAUUUUUCCCCCAAAAAGAGCAAAAAUAAGGACAAAAAUAAAUGAAGAAACCAAGACACAAUGUUUAAAGGUUCAAGAAUAAACUGUACGAAUGAAUUAAAAUGAAAUCUUAGAUCACUUCCUCAAAUCAUUGAAAUUCCUGUUUGAAGUCAUCCUCUUGUGACAGCAUCUCAGAAUUUUACUACAGCGAGUGGCCAUUGGGAAGUAGAUGAAGAGAAAGUGGGGUGAAGAUGCUGUGACUUCCUUCUUUUGAUUGUGUCUGUAGUAGGUGAUAGAGUGGCGCUGAGCAGGACACAUGGGGAUUCUGAGUUGCUGGUCAGUUUCCACUUCUUGGUCUGUGUGGUCAUUACUUGGUUCUCUUCUGUAGUCACUCAGUACAAUUCACCAAACUCUAUGUAAAUUGUGUAUUUUUAAAAAUGUACAAAUUAAAAGUUUACUUAAAACUUAUUGUAUAAUAUUCAAUGACAUGAAUGAACCUUAAUGAUAUGAUGCUAAAUGAAAUAAGCCAACCAUAGAAAGACAAGUACUUCAUUAUUCCACUUUUAUAAGGAAUCUGAAAUAGUUAUAGAAUCAGAAAGUGGGAAGGGGUUUGCCAGACAUUGGGGAGGAGGAUGGAUAUGGGGAGUAGCUAAUCAAUGGGCAUAAGAUUUCAGUCAAGUGAGGUGAAUAAGCUUUAGAGAUCUGUAACAACACUGUAACACCUGUAGUUGAUAAUAUGUUGUACACUUGGCGAAUUUGUUAAGAGGGUAGAUCUCAGGUAGAUGUACCUUUCACAAUUAAAAAAAAAAAAAACUUAAUCAAAAUAAAAGGUGCACCAAAUAUAUUAAAAUGAGGGAGGAAUGAAAUUUAUCUUAUGCCUUCCUGCAGCUGAGGGAAGCAGUUAGCUUAUGAGAGCUAUGGAAACAAGAAACAUAAUGGGCUGUAUAGUGCUUUUUACCUCGGUAACAUAAAAUACCUAUAUUUGUGAGUCAAGGUUUAUCUUUUUGGCAAAUAUAUUCGUGUGUGAGCCAAUGAAUUGUAUAGUAGGCAAAUCUUUAAUAAUUACAUUUAAAGGGCACACUGUUCAAAUUUAUACUUCCUUUAUUUGAUUCUGUAUAAAAGUAAGGGCAUACAAUUAAAUCUUAACUCACUUGACAUUAUGCUGUAGGAAGUAAAGAUAUUAAAGUUUAGGUAUGUUCCUUUCUGUUGACUUAACAAGAUAAGGUGUAGACACAUGAUUUCCAGGACAUUACAUAGUAAACAGAUUCAUUAUUAUCUAUUUUAAAAAUGUUAAUUAUCUGACAAGCUAUUUGCUCCUCAGUGUGGUGGAUAUUAUGAUUGGUUUCUCUGAGUGUCAAAAUUGUCUGCUGUAGUGAAGGGCCUUGGAAAUGAACAGAGAUCAUUCUGUCAUUUUUGAGAUUGCAUCCUAGUACUGCAUUUUGGACUCUUUUGUGGACUAUGAUGGCUACUCCAUUUCUUCUAAGGGAUUCUUGCCCACAGUAGUAGAUGUAAUGGUCAUCUGAGUUAAAUUCACCCAUUCCAGUCCAUUUUAGUUUGCUGAUUUUCCUAAAAUGUUGACAUUCACUCUUGCCAUCUCCUGUUUUACCACUUCCAAUUUGCCUUGAUUCAUGGACCUAACAUUCCGGGUUCCUAUGCAAUACUGGUCUUUACAGCAUCAGACCUUGCUUCUAUCACCAGUCACAUCCACAACUGGGUGUUGUUUUUGCGUUGGCUCCCUCUCUUCAUUCUUUCUGGAGUUAUUUUUUCACUGAUCUCCAGUAGCAUAUUGGACACCUACUGACCUGGGGAGUUCAUCUUUCAGUGUUCUAUAUUUUUGCCUUUUCAUACUGUUCUUAGGGUUCUCAAGGCAGGAAUAUUGAAAUGGUUUGCCAUUCCCUUCUCCAGUGGACCACAUUUUGUCAGAAUUCUCCACCAUGACCCAUCCAUCUUGGGUGGCCCCACAUGGCAUGGCUUAGUUUCAUUGAGUUAGACAAGGCUGUGGUCCAUGUGAUUAGCUUGGUUAGUUUUCUGAGAUUGUGUUUCAGUCUGUCUGCCCUCUGAUGCCCUCUCUUAGUGCCUAUUGUCUUACUCGUGUUUCUCUUACCUUGGACGUGGAGUAUCUGUUCACGGCUGAUCCAGCAAAGUGCUUCUUACUUUGGACAUGAGGUGUCUCCUCAUGGCCCUGCUACUGACUUGGAUGUGGGGUAUCUCCUCUCAGCCGUUCACCACUCCUGGCAAACCAUUCAAUAUCACUGUAAUCCAAGUCUGUACUCUGACUAGUAACACUGAAGAAGCUAAAGUUGAAUGGUUCUAUGAAGACCUACAAGACCUUUUAGAACUAACACCCCAAAAAGAUGUUCUUUUCAUUAUAGGGGACUGGAAUGCAAAAGUAGGAAGUCAAGAAACACCUGGAGUAAUAGGCAUAUAUGGCCUUGGAGUACAGAAUGAAGCAGGGCAAAUUGUAACAGAGUUUUGCCAAGAGAACACACUGGUCAUAGCAAACACCCACUUCCAACAACACAAGAG
rnacentral:lncRNA from 1 species